rnacentral:rRNA from 1 species
GUUGGGCACUCUAAGGGGACUGCCGGUGAUAAGCCGAGAGGAAGGUGGGGAUGACGUCAAGUCCUCAUGCCCUUACGGGCUGGGCUACACACGUGCUACAAUGGUGGUGACAGUGGGCAGCGAGACAGCGAUGUCGAGCUAAUCUCCAAAAGCCAUCUCAGUUCGGAUUGCACUCUGCAACUCGAGUGCAUGAAGUUGGAAUCGCUAGUAAUCGCGGAUCAGCAUGCCGCGGUGAAUACGUUCCCGGGCCUUGUACACACCGCCCGUCACACCAUGGGAGUUGGUUUUACCCGAAGGCCGUGCGCCAACCCGCAAGGGAAGCAGGCGACCACGGUAGGGUCAGCGACUGGGGUGAAGUCGUAACAAGGUAGCCGUAGGGGAACUGC